rnacentral:lncRNA from 1 species
CGGGGGGAGAGGAGGGGCGGGGCCGCGGGAGGGGAGGGGCCGGGCCGCGCGGAGGGGCUUUAGUCGUUGGACCUAGGCAGUGGCGGCGUCCAGUAUUAUAGAUGAGAAAGCUGAAGUGACCGCCCAAGAGCUGAGAUCUGAUCCCAAGUUGGCCGAGACCGGCAGAAGUGGAGGGCGACUGGAGGAGCUGGAUGACUCGGGAACGGAAGCGCGAGCUCCUUGAUGCCCCUGCCCUCAGGGCAGUCAGGGGACAGGACCCUGCCCUCUGGGCUUUUGGGAUUUCCGGGUGGCGUCUAUCGCCUGCCCAAGGUCACCAACCGCCCUCAACUCGAGUGCCCUGGUGCCGGAUGUGGCCGAGGUCUGGUCAACGUCAAGGAACACAGAGUACACGUUGAAAGGCAGCCAGCCACCGACGCCUGUCAAAUUUACAGGCCCCAGAUGGAGAACUUAAGAUGGAGAGAAGUCUUUUCUUCCCCCUCCACGACGAACAGGUGGAUUCAGACCUGAGGUGGGGAGCCAAGUCAUGGGGCCAGGCCAGCCAGGGAGGGAACCUGGAUCUGAUCUUCCAACAAAGCCGUGGGGCUUCAGAACAGACAGAAAUGGAAAGAAAGUCGGCUCAGAUUGGUUCCUCCACGAAGAACUGUUCUAACGGCCUGGGCUCAGCCACGAGUGAGCCAGGUGCACCUGCUCACCGGUCCAGAGAAGGGUGUGGGCAAGUCGAGCUGCCUUGUUACAGACUGACAGGUUCUCUAUAGUCUCUUUCUUCUCUUUUGGGGAGACUAUGGUAAAAAGUCAUUUACUAAGAAGUGAUGGAUAUUGGUCGAGGCUCAGUUACUUUUGUGGUGAGCUAUUCUAUAUGUUGGAG